rnacentral:piRNA from 1 species
UACUGUCAAUGUAUUUGAUAUCCACCAA